UUAUUUAUAUUAAAUAUGUUUAAAUCAGUGUUUAAUAUGUGUGAGGUGGAGGCGUAUGGAGGACAAAGAAAACGUAUUCUGGAACCUCAUGUUGUCACGGUCGUUAAAACUGAUACAGGGUUUGGUUUCAAUGUUCGGGGACAGGUGAGUGAAGGUGGGAACCUGAAAUCUAUAAACGGCGAGCUCUACGCCCCUCUUCAACACAUCUCGGCGAUUCUACCUGGUGGAGCGGCGGAAACGGCGGGUAUAUUCCGGGGGGAUAGAAUUCUAGAGGUGAAUGGAGUUAGUGUUGAGGGAUCAACUCACAAACAGGUUGUUGAACUGAUAAAGUCCGGAGGGGAUUCUCUGACACUGACUGUUAUUUCACUUCCCUCCGGAGACGUGGAGAGACUUGAACCUCCGGAGACUAUUCCGGUUCAUUUCUUGGACUACUCGGAGAAACGAUCUUUACCUAUAACUAUUCCCGACUACAAACAUCUGGAGGAUCUUGGAGAAAAAUUUGUUGUUUAUAAUAUUUACAUUGCUGGCAGACAUCUUUGUUCUCGCAGAUACCGCGAGUUUGUGGAUCUUCACAACUGUCUGAAGAACGAGUUUAUUGGGUUUAAUUUCCCCCGACUCCCGGGGAAAUGGCCGUUUUCGUUGAGUGAGCAGCAACUUGAUUCCAGGAGACGAGGUUUAGAAAUCUACUUGGAGCGGGUUUGCGCAGUUCGAGUUAUUGCUGAGAGUGAAACCCUGCAGGACUUCUUGACUGAGCAUGAAGACGAAAUUUCUUCGUCUCCCCUAGUGGACAUCAAGAUAAUCAUACUGGACGAGCAGGUUAUAUCCGUCAAGGCAAAGCGGAAUUCAACUGCUGAUGAGGUUUUCAGGAUGGUUGCUCAGAAGAUCGGUCUGUUCCCGGAGAACUGGGAGUUCUUCUUCCUCUUUGAGAUUGUGGAGCAUAACUUUGAGCGUCGAGUUCAACCCACGGAGUUUCCGCAUUCUCUGUACAUAGCAAAUUACAGUACUGCAACAGCAACAUGCUUGUCCUUUAGAAAAUGGUUGUUCCAUCCUAGAGUAGAAGUUGAACUGGAGAGUGAUCCUGUUGCAUUGAAAAUUUUGUUUUACCAGGCGGUGGCCGAGGUGAACCAAGGUUGUAUUAACACUAAGGACAGGUUGCAUCAGUUGAAGGCUCUCCAGGACGGAGAGAAGAUGAAGGAGUAUCUUGCCACUGUGAGACAGAUGGAGGGAUACGGAGGAGUUGUGUUCCCGCACUGUUCCUCUGACGCCCGGAGAGAAGGUCAUGUUGUUCCUGUUGUUACUUUCGAGGCUCUCCGCCUACAGGCUUGUAAAGAGGACGGAGAACUGGAGGAUCAGAUCAUAGAAUUCGCCUGGGAGACGAUUACUCAGUUCGAGGCGGAGGAAAAUGGGCCCAGCUUCCAGUUUCAUUACAGGAGAGAAGGUAAACCUGACAGGAUUGUUCGAAUCUUCUCACACUACUAUAUUCAUCUAUUUGAGUGCUUUGAGAAGAUCCAAGAAGAAAUAGGUUGGAGCAGACAGUUAGAAAACCAGUCUCUUUAGGUAGAUAGAGGUCAUUUAGGUAGCUGAAAGAUCUCUAGACAGCUGAAGGUCUUUUAGAAAACUGAUGUAAUCCUCCGGUUGAAAAGUCUGAUAUUUAUGAAUUAAAAAAGAGCUAUUUGAGUGAGCAGUUUUAAAACCUUAGAAAUAAAUUCUUGUUAUCUCUCCGUACCCCUUACUUUUUUGGAUUUCCAAAUCAUGGCUACAACCUAUAUAUAACAAACAAAUUUACGAGGUUUAUCUGUAAUAUUUAUUUAUGUAACUGCUGAUCAUGAAAACCAAAUAUUCUGAAGUAUUGUAAUGUAUUUAAUCUAGACUCUGUUGUUAACCCCUCUAAAGAUAUUUAAAUGUAAGUAAAUGACAAGACAUGAUCUACAUUAUCAUCACCAAGGAUAGCAACAUUCAUUAUUUUAUUUGACUUUUUUCUUUAUUUGAUAUUUUAAUGAUCUCAUUAUUUCUGACACAAAACUUUUAACUAUAAUCCUCACUCGUUAUUGUGAUAGAUAGCAUUUUAUUUCUGUGUUAAAGAGUUUAUUAUUAGAUAUUUUAUUCCAUGUUAGCCAUAAUAUUUCUCAGAGUUUUAACCUACGUUGUAUUACAAACAAACCUGUUCAAAUGUUCAAUGCAAUACCUAAACACCCGACAGUCAAAAACAAAUAGUUAUUCUAGAAAUUGUUCACGUAAGGAAUAUGCAAUUAACCGGAAAUCAAACUAAAGAAAGAAAGAAAGCUAAUAGAAUAUGUUUAUUAUGUUUUCGUAACAAUCCCUUAGUGUACACUGUACACAAUACAAUGCACUAUGUACAACGGACACAUUGAUAAAAUAUGUAAUCCUAGUUAGAUCUUCGUGACACUAGAUGUCUCUGUAUUGUAAUCAUUAAUUGCAGA
rnacentral:misc_RNA from 1 species